GGCGUGCCUAAUACAUGCAAGUAGAACACUGAGGACUGGUGCUUGCACCGGUUCAAGGAGUUGCGAACGGGUGAGUAACGCGUAGGUAACCUACCUCAUAGCGGGGGAUAACUAUUGGAAACGAUAGCUAAUACCGCAUGACAAUGGAGGACCCAUGUCUUUCAUUUAAAAGGUGCAACUGCAUCACUAUGAGAUGGACCUGCGUUGUAUUAGCUAGUUGGUGAGGUAACGGCUCACCAAGGCGACGAUACAUAGCCGACCUGAGAGGGUGAACGGCCACACUGGGACUGAGACACGGCCCAGACUCCUACGGGAGGCAGCAGUAGGGAAUCUUCGGCAAUGGACGGAAGUCUGACCGAGCAACGCCGCGUGAGUGAAGAAGGUUUUCGGAUCGUAAAGCUCUGUUGUUAGAGAAGAAUGAUGGUGGGAGUGGAAAAUCCACCAUGUGACGGUAACUAACCAGAAAGGGACGGCUAACUACGUGCCAGCAGCCGCGGUAAUACGUAGGUCCCGAGCGUUGUCCGGAUUUAUUGGGCGUAAAGCGAGCGCAGGCGGUUCUUUAAGUCUGAAGUUAAAGGCAGUGGCUCAACCACUGUACGCUUUGGAAACUGGAGAACUUGAGUGCAGAAGGGGAGAGUGGAAUUCCAUGUGUAGCGGUGAAAUGCGUAGAUAUAUGGAGGAACACCGGUGGCGAAAGCGGCUCUCUGGUCUGUAACUGACGCUGAGGCUCGAAAGCGUGGGGAGCAAACAGGAUUAGAUACCCUGGUAGUCCACGCCGUAAACGAUGAGUGCUAGGUGUUAGGCCCUUUCCGGGGCUUAGUGCCGGAGCUAACGCAUUAAGCACUCCGCCUGGGGAGUACGACCGCAAGGUUGAAACUCAAAGGAAUUGACGG
rnacentral:rRNA from 1 species